CGCCACCGCCCUUCUGGGCGUUUCCUCCCUAGACUUGGGCCGCGUUCGCGCGGCCCUUUUUUUUCGCCCAG
rnacentral:sRNA from 1 species